AGCCCUCAGCGUACAUGCCAGCUAAUUACAGAUGCAGGAGCAAACCCCUGGCCCAUACAUCAGUUGGGUGUGGUGACUCACACCUGCAAUCCCAGCACUUUGGGAGGCUGAGGAGAGCAGAUCACUUGAGGCCAGGAGUUCGAGACCAGUCUGGGCAACAUAAUGGAGUUUCGCUCUUGUUGCCCAGGCUGGAGAGCAACGGCACAAUCUCAGCUCACCGCAACCUCCGCCUCCCGAGUUCAAGCAAUUCUCCUGCCUCAGCCUCCUGAGUAGCUGGAAUUACAGACUUUGAGUCUUGCUCUAUGGCCCAGACUGGAGUGCAGUGGCAUGAUCUCGGCUCACUUCAACCUCCACCUCCAGGGUUCGAGAGAGAUUCUCCUGCCUUAUCUUCCCAAGUAGCUGGGAUCACCAACGCCCACAACCACACCCGGCUAAUUUUUGUACUUUUAGUGGAGACAGGGUUUCGCCAUGUUGGCUAGGCUGGUCUCAAACUCCCGACCUCAGGUGAUCCACCUGCCUUGGCCUCCCAAAGUGCUGGGAUUACAGACGUGAGCCCCCGCACCUGGCCAAGAUCAGCUAG
rnacentral:antisense_RNA from 1 species